UAAUACUGCUUGUCUACCAAACUUGUCAUCCCAUUGAUCACCCCAGGUUGAUUCAACUGAUCUGACUGGUUGGGCAGGUGUGUCUUUCUUCCCUCUCCACUUUAUGCAUGUUCCUUCUGAAGCUGUGUGUUUGGUUGAGAAGACAGCAUUGCCUGGUAGAGUUGGACCAUUUUUCUAUCAUUAAUACAUGAGUAGCUGCACUCCCCUCCUAGAACCUACUAAAAACUCCCAAGAAAAAGAGUUGAGACAAAAAGGGUUUAGCUUUUGCUAGAAGGUAUGACUCUUGUAUGUAAAGAUGUGUGCAU
rfam:Mus musculus chromosome 1, GRC primary reference assembly.